rnacentral:snRNA from 1 species
GGAUGUGAGGGCGAUCCGUUGAUCACCAGGGUUGAUUAGGCUGAUCUGGCUGGCUAGGCCCGUGUUCCCUUGCUCCCUCACCGCUCUGCCCCUCCUGAAGCUGUGCACUUACUUGGUCGAAGAGGACAACCAUCCCUGGUAGAGGAGGAUUAGUCGCUCUGCUG